rnacentral:tRNA from 1 species
GGUUUAGCUCAGUGGUAGAAUGCUUGUCUAAUAAGCAAGAGGCCCUGAGUUCAUUCCUCAGCACCA